UACGUAGGGCGCAAGCGUUGUCCGGAAUUAUUGGGCGUAAAGAGCUCGUAGGCGGCCUGUUGCGUCCGCUGUGAAAUCCCGGGGCUCAACCCCGGGCCUGCAGUGGAUACGGGCUGGCUAGAGGCAGGCAGGGGAGAACGGAAUUCCUGGUGUAGCGGUGAAAUGCGCAGAUAUCAGGAGGAACACCAAUGGCGAAGGCAGCUCGCUGGGACGUGACUGACGCUGAGACGCGAAAGCGUGGGGAGCAAACAGG
rnacentral:rRNA from 1 species